AACGCACAUUGCGCCCUUUGGAUUACCGAAGGGCAUGCCUGUUUGAGUGUCAUUAAAUUUAUCAACCUUGCAAUUUAUUGCUUGGAUUGGAUGUGAGGGUUGCAGGCUUCGGUCUGCUCCUUUUAAAUGCAUUAGUGGGAUCUCUUGUGGACCGUCACUUGGUGUGAUAAUUAUCUACGCCGCUUGAAUGUGAAGCAAAACCUAUGGGAACUCGCUUAUAACCGUCCUUCGGGACAAUCUAUUGACCAUUUGACCUCAAAUCAAGUAGGACUACCCGCUGAACUUAA
rnacentral:misc_RNA from 1 species